GUCAGAGGCUGGACGGUAAGUCCCUUCUUAUAUACUGUCUAUGGGAAGUCCCACACAGCAGUCUCCUUCCUUCGGGUUAGGCAAUAAUCAUCCGGGGAACUGUCCACUCGCCGUAGCCGGAUACACAAACACACACACGGUUCCUGCGUCCCGUUGCUAACUUUCAGCUAGCUUAUGCUAACGUCUGUACUGUUGCUACUUUGGCUGUUCGGGGGCGAAUAAACAAACGACCCCGCGGUCACAUUCACCGGAAUGAUGCUAGGAGAAAAGUAGGCAUCGCUGUGAGAAGGAAUAUGGCGUUUGGUAUCGGUUUUGUUUGUGUUUCUGCAAAUAGACGGUUGCAGGUGGACUGGUGUUUACAUGGUCCGUGGGAGCUGGAAGUCCGCAGCUGUGUGGCGGCUGCAGUGCUUUUAUGUGUCUCCUAGCUGCAGACCUGCAGCCUCAAUGGAUGCCAUCUGGGAAGAAGAAGAGGAGCCUUGUAGAGACCAGCUGAAGGAACAUCUUCUCUGAGCUGAAGCUCUGAGAUGAGUGCAGAGUUUCCGGACCACAACGGAGAAGUUCCUUCACUCCAUUCAUGCCUUCUUCUCUCCGUACUCACUGUAUACUCAUAGUAUUGUAUGUCAUGAAAUAAUUUAAUAAAAAAGUAAGUAGGCUAAUAGUACGUAUUAUGUCAAAAAAAGCUCAGAAAAGUCAUACAUAAUGUCAAAAAGUGUUAUUACAUAGUUAUUACAUUGUUAUAACAUGUAUUAUGACAAAAAUCUAUCAGAAAGUCACAAAAAGUGUUAUUACAUAGUUAUUACAUUGUUAUAACAUGUAUUAAUGACAAAAAUCUAUCAAAAAGUAAAAAAAAAUGUCAAAAAGUGUUAUUACACAGUUGUACACAGUACAUGCCAUAAAAGUGGGCGUAAAUUAUUUUUUCGUCCAUAAAAUUUUUUUUUUUUUAAAAUCUAAUUUUCUUUUUCUUAAAUUAGGAUGUUCUCUUCCUUUGUCCUACUCUGGUCUCUCCUUUUCUCUGAGGUGUCCUACUCUGGUCUCUUUCUUUCUCUGAGUUGUCCUACUCUGGUCUUUCCCUUUCUCGGAGGUGUCCUACUCUGGUCUCUUUCUUUCUCGGAGGUGUCCUACUCUGGUCUCUCCCUUUCUCUGAGGUGUCCUACUCUGGUCUCUCCCUU